rnacentral:rRNA from 1 species
GCGUCCGCAAGGGCGUGAGUGAAGUAAUCAUCGUAAUAGUAAUUCAACUCAGUACGAGAGGAACCGUUGAUUCAGAUAAUUGGUAUUUUCACUUGAUUGAAAAAUCAAUGGUGAGAAGCUAUCAUCUGUAGGAUUAUGGCUGAACGCCUCUAAGUCAGAAUCCAUGCUAGAAAGUGAUGAUCGGUCUUUGGUUUCGGUUGCGUGAUUGAUGUAAAAAGUUAGUUGCGUGAUUGGGGCCAAAAACCAAACCUUAAAUUCCUCUCUUUGUUUUAGGCGGCUAAGCAUAGACUUGGUGUGUCUACUCGUUUUAAAUCCUGGGUUCUGGCUAGGUUUCGGUUUAAGUUCUGUGUGUUGGUGUUGGUGGUUUUCGGCUGACAAUGUUGAUGUAUAGUGAUUUAAGCGCGGAGGCUUAGUUUUUUGAGUUCAGGAGGAUACAUAAGUUCAAUAGCAGUCAAUCAUCUAAUAAA